rnacentral:lncRNA from 1 species
UUUUGAGAAGUUGAAAUUUGAGAAAAGGCCUGAAGGAGCUGAGGAGGUGGGUGAGUCAUGAAUGCAUCUCGGGAAGGAGUUCCCCAGGCUGAGGGAGCUGCACCUGAGGAAACCCAGGAGGCAAAGGUGGUCCUGGUCAGGAUGAUGAGGAGGUCCGUGUGGCUGGAGCAGGUGAGCUAGGUGGAGAGAGGCCGUAGAUGAGGGCAGAGCUGCUGCGGGAGCCAAACGUGUAAGGAUCUUUUCGGGCAGUGAGAGGACGUUGGUUUCUCACAGCAGAGAAGGGACAUCAUCUGACAUAUUUUAAAAGUAUCUCUCCGGCUCCCUUGUGGACUGUAAGGGACCAAGAGUUGAAACAGGCACCCAGGAGGAGUCCUUCCAGCAACUGAGAGGACUUGGUCCGAUUCUACCUCCGGAACAAUGCUCAGCCCACAGCCCUCAUUCCCUCCGUGAUGAACAGUAACUGUGGACUUUUGACCUUCCUCUUGAGCUUGGUCUGAGUCUUGGCAUUUACAACCACGGCUCUAGGUAAGGACAUGCUUUGGGGUGUCUUUCUGGCCCUUGCCUUUGCGUUUGCGCAUAGGGCUCUAGUGGCCCAAUUAUGUUGUUGCAGUAAAGUUUCUCCUUGCUCUGGUCUGGAGCAGUUGAGGUCAUUCAUCCCCUGGAUCUCUGUUGGCACAGGUGGCUUGGCCGAGUGCCACUUUAGGUAACUGUGACCUGUUUACUCAACUUCUUCCUGGAGUUUUGAUAUUCUUGUUGUCAGGGCCUUUGAGAAAGUUUAUACGAUGGGCUCAGUGAAGAAGCCGCAGCUGUUCUGAAAUUAGGCUCCUUUCCCCGUGAAUGUGCAGCUAUGCGGGUGUGUGGAUCAGGUGCACAGGGCUUUGAGGAAUGUGGCGGAGACUCAGUGGCAAGAACAGUUGUCUGUGAUUGCUGGGCCUUGUUUUGACCCAGUCCCUCACCCCACAUAAGCCUCUCAGCGAGGAACAUGGAAGGGUCAGGCCUCUCACGUUUCCUCCCCUGUGAGAUUGGAUCGCCACUGUGAUGGCAUUUCUCCCCAUCUUCAGUUGCUGGGCAGACCCUGCGUGUGUGCGCACAUGUCCAUGAGCCCACAACCCUUGCAUAUUUGCAACAAAAGUCUCUGGGGAGAAUGAAUUUAAAUGGACUCUUGACUAUUUGUUCUGGAGCGGCACGUGUUUACUUAAGUCACCAGCCUCCUUCCUAAAUGCAGUCACGAGCUCUCCCAAACUCCACAGACACCCAAACAACCAAAUAUUCAGAGAGCCCGUGCCCUUGCCCUGCUUCAGCCCCACAGCCCCGCCUGGGUUGCUGGUCUGACCCGGCUGGGCAGGGUGGCUGUGAGCUGCCGGUGUGGCCCCAGGCACCUCAAAGGGUCCUCGGUGUUCAACAACAGGAAGUGCUGGCAGGCUUCCCUCGCUAGGGAACUGAAAGUGGUGACAACAGAGGAUGUGUUCUUCAGGCUAUCAGAUAAAGCCCUCUGCACUGAGAACUGCUUCUGACGAGGAACAGAGACUUCACUGGUCUCUUCCCCAUGCCUUGCCCUUGCCCUAACUAACUUCUGAAUUUAUAUCACCUGUGAGUUCUGCUCUAAUUCAGGGACUUGGGCGGAGAGGUUUCGGACAGUGGCCAAAAGCAAGAGACUGUCUGCAUGACCCUUUAGAAACACCCGUGACCUGGUGCAGAGCUGAGCCAGCUUUGGCCACACUGUUUGGGAUGCUGACUCAACGCAGCUCAUUAUAUCUGAUUGAAUUUAUCUUUCAUUACUAUGCAAUCAAAUUAAAGGGCAAGAAGGGAUUUUUCUCUGUUUUCUGAAAGUGGUUGCAGCAAAACCCACUAUGAAGCAUUUAUUUCUUGUAUUGUUUAGACUGGGCAGAAUCAGAGGGAGGUAGGUGUGUGACUUCAUUUAGGAGAAGGUGAGCACUGAUGGCAAUAUUUUCUUCAAAUGCCACACAUGAAGUGGGAGAGGUGACAGCCAAGCCUGCAGGGACUCUGUCUCUGAAAAU